rnacentral:rRNA from 1 species
ACACGUAGUCAACCUACCCUGGGGACGGGGAUAACCUCGGGAAACUGAGGCUAAACCCCGAUGGGCCAUGGCUCCUGGAAUGGGCUAUGGCUGAAAUCUACAUGGCCCCAGGAUGGGACUGCGGCCGAUCAGGUUGUUGGUGGGGUAAUGGCCCACCAAGCCUAUAACCGGUGCGGGCUCUGAGAGGAGGAGCCCGGAGAUGGGCACUGAGACAAGGGCCCAGGUCCUAUGGGGCGCAGCAGGCGCGAAACCUCCGCAAUGGGCGAAAGCCCGACGGGGUCAGUCCGAGUGGUUCCCGCUGAGGGAACCUUUUGCCAGCUGUAAACAGGCUGGCGAAUAAGGGGUGGGCAAGUUUGGUGUCAGCCGCCGCGGUAAUACCAGCACCCCGAGUGGUCGGGACGAUUAUUGGGCCUAAAGCAUCCGUAGCCGGCCCAGUAAGUCCUCCGUUAAAUCCAACGGCUCAACCGUUGGGCUGCGGGGGAUACUGCUGGGCUAGGGGACGGAAGAGGCGAGGGGUAUUCCCGGGGUAGGGGUAAAAUCCACUGAUCCCGGGAGGACCACCAGUGGCGAAGGCGCCUCGCUAGAACGUGCCCGACGGUGAGGGAUGAAAGCUGGGGGAGCGAACCGGAUUAGAU